CAUGCAUUCACCAGUCCCGACUCUCUCUCUCUCUCUCUCUCUCUGCAGGACCAUACAUCUCCAAGAGUGUCUGUCAUCCGUGGACGUCAGCACAAGGAGCAACUAUUCUAUUGUGCUUUGAGGAAUUUUUUAAGAACUUAAACCAUUUAGGAAUUAGGAAAACUACAUCAUUUGUUUUCCAUCUGUCUACAUCAACUGAGGCCAGGGUCAGGGAGAAAGCAGAAAGGAGUCCUUGAGGUGCCUGGGAAGAGGAAGCAAAGAACUACUUUGCCUUUUCCAGGACAUUGUGUGGGCUUGCUAGACCCAGAGGAGGAUUGACACCACACAGAUAAAUUUUUCACAUUAGCAGAAGUUGUGUUUCUUCAUAAACAAAACUGGAGACGAGCAAGUAGAAAUUGGAUCGGGACCAGUUGUCCGGAUAAGGGAUGUAAAGUCAUCUCCGGGAGGAGGAAAGCAGCAAUUUCCUACCUCAAGUCACACACAAGCAACUCCCCUUCCUCCAGAAGCCUCUGGUCUGAUGUCACUGUUACCAGCACCACCAUCAGGUCUCACAGUCUUCAUUUCUGAAAGCACUUGUGCUACAUGAAGCUCAUAUAAUAAAUCAUCUGCUUUUCCCUUAUUAACCUACCUUCGUCAGUGUUUACUUCAGACUGUCAUGGUUAUCUAAAGUGUCCUGGAAAAGGCUCGCUG
rnacentral:lncRNA from 1 species